ACACACAAGGCAGGAAGUCAAACAAGACAUGACACAAGAGAAACACAGACACUACAAAAUAAACCGGAGACUAAACAAAACCCAGGAUCAACAGUCGUAAGACAACCAGGCUGACAGGGAGGACUCACAACAGGUGUACAAGACAAGACAUGCAGGACAGGGCUACAUGGACACAUAAGACUCACCCAGUUUGAGACUGAGGCCGAUCUUUGGCCGGUGUUCCUCCUGCGGCAGAGCCUCAGGGGGAGAGUUUUCGUGGGGGAUGAUGAUGCCGCAGGGCGACUCGUCCCCGGGUGUGUUGGGGGACGCGUUGCCACUGGCAGACGACACUGAGGGUGCUGCUGUGAUGGGCCGCAUCGUGGGCUUCAAGCAUGGUUUUGAGUCAGGGUUAUCUUCGUCAUGGUCAUCUUCCUCACCCUCCUCCACCUCGUCGUCUGAGUGGACAGGUCGUGCGCGGGGUUCUGAUCUCUCCGGUUCCUGUCGGCACUCCCGGUGGUCUCGUGAACCCCUGUGGCGUUCCCGUACCUCCUCGGGCUCCGGCUCUUGGAUGAUGGGAGGUUGUCGCAGACGCUCCUCCUCUUCCUCCUCCAUCUGGACCAAUAAGAGGCAGAUAUGCAGAAGAUUAACACUCAAUUCGUGUUUGACAGAAAAGAAGGUCAGCAGACAAUGAAAGCUGGACACCACAGAUGUGCAGAAAUGCAGAGACACUCUAAUCAUAAAGUGACCUUCACAGAGACAACAGACAUGCCCACUCCCUAUAGAUAUAAAGGCAAACACACAAACAUUAUUAUUAUUAUAAAUAAACAUACCCUGCGUAGCUCUGCGUCUGGGUUUGGAUGUC